rnacentral:rRNA from 1 species
AGAGUUUGAUCAUGGCUCAGAACGAACGUUGGCGGCGUGGAUUAGGCAUGCAAGUCGCGGGAAUGCCCAGCAAUGGGUGGAACCGGCGUAAGGGGCAGUAAGGCGUGGGUACCUACCCCGGGGUCCGGGAUAGCCCGCCGAGAGGCGGGGUAAUACCGGAUGACCUCGGGAGAGCAAAGCUCCGGCGCCCCGGGCGGGGCCCACGUGAUAUUAGCUAGUUGGCGGGGUGACGGCCCACCAAGGCGGAGAUGUCUAGCGGGUGUGAGAGCACGACCCGCGCCACUCGCACUGAGACACUGGCGAGACACCUACGGGUGGCUGCAGUCGAGGAUCUUCGGCAAUGCGCGCAAGCGCGACCGAGCGACGCCGCGUGGGCGACGAAGGCCUUCGGGUUGUAAAGCCCUGUCGAGGGGGAGGAAAGCCGCAAGGCGUGACCUAUCCCUGGAGGAAGCUCGGGCUAAGUUCGUGCCAGCCGCCGCGGUAAUAC